rnacentral:rRNA from 1 species
ACGAACCGUGCGAACGUUAUUCGGAAUCACUGGGCUUAAAGCGCGUGUAGGCGGAACGGCACGUCGGUCGCUGAAAUCCCCCGGCUCAACCGGGGAACGGGCGCCGAUACGACCGUUCUCGAGGGACGUAGGGGGACCUGGAACUUCCGGUGGAGCGGUGAAAUGCGUUGAGAUCGGAAGGAACGCCCGUGGCGAAAGCGAGGUCCUGGACGUUUUCUGACGCUGAGACGCGAAAGCCAGGGGAGCGAACGGGAUUAGAUACCCCGGUAGUCCUGGCCGUAAACGAUGGGCACUGGGUAGGGGGCUCGCCGAUGGGCUCCCUGCCGUAGCGAAAGCGUGAAGUGCCCCGCCUGGGGAGUAUGGUCGCAAGGCUG